AGAGUUUGAUCCUGGCUCAGAUUGAACGCUGGCGGCAUGCCUAACACAUGCAAGUCGAACGGUAACGACGGGAGCUUGCUCCCGGGCGACGAGUGGCGGACGGGUGAGUAAUACUUAGGAAUCUGCCCAGUAGUGGGGGACAACUCGAGGAAACUCGAGCUAAUACCGCAUACGCCCUACGGGGGAAAGCGGAGGAUCUUUCGGGACUUCGCGCUAUUGGAUGAGCCUAAGUCGGAUUAGCUUGUUGGUGGGGUAAAGGCCUACCAAGGCGACGAUCUGUAGCUGGUCUGAGAGGACGAUCAGCCACACUGGGACUGAGACACGGCCCAGACUCCUACGGGAGGCAGCAGUGGGGAAUAUUGGACAAUGGGGGCAACCCUGAUCCAGCAAUGCCUCAUGUGUGAAGAUAGCCUGCGGGUUGUAUAGCACUUUUCGUAUAGAAGAAAUGCCCCUGCGUUAUACCCUGUGGGUCUUGACAUAACCUAUCGAAGAAGCCCCGGCUAACUCCCCGGCCAGCAGACCCGCUAAUCCGGAGGGUGCGCGCGUUAACUCCGCAUUACCGGGCCGUAAACUCUCCUUGGCUGGUUGGUCACCCCGAUUUGAAAGCCCUUCUGCUCACUUUGGGAAGGGCCUUUCAUUACUGCCUGAAUACACUAUGGUAAAAGGGUAACUUAAAUUCUCCGGGUAAUCGGAGAAUCG
rnacentral:rRNA from 1 species